CGCGUAGACGGUUUUGUAAGUCAGAUGUGAAAUCCCUGGGCUCAACCUGGGAACUGCAUUUGAUACUGCUUGGCUAGAGUAUGGAAGAGGGAAGUGGAAUUUCCGGUGUAGCGGUGAAAUGCGUAGAUAUCGGAAGGAACACCAGUGGCGAAAGCGACUUCCUGGUCCAAUACUGACGUUCAUGUGCGAAAGCGUGGGGAGCAAACAGGAUUAGAUACCCUGGUAGUCCACGCCAUAAACGAUGACAACUAGAUGUUGGGAGGGUCUGCCUCUCGGUGUCGCAGCUAACGCGUUAAGUUGUCCGCCUGGGGAGUACGGCCGCAAGGUUGAA
rnacentral:rRNA from 1 species